rnacentral:lncRNA from 1 species
CUUCCACUCAGCAAAACUACUUUGAAAUUCAAACAAGUUGUUGCAUGAAUCAAUUGUUCAUUUUUACUGCUGAGUAGUAAAUGCCCUUAUUGUACGGAUAUGUACCACAUUUUGUUUAUCCAUUAAUCUUUUGAUGGGCAUUUGGAUUAUUUCCAACUUUUGCCUAUUACAAAUGAAGCUGCUGCGAACAUUCAUGACAAGUCUUUGGAUGGACACAUGCUUUCAUUUCUCUCAGAUCUUGUUUUUGGUGUCAUAUCUAAGAAAUCUUUGCCUAAUCCUAGGACAUAAAGCUGUGGCAUGUGGGACGCCGCCUCAGCGUGGUCUGACGAGCAGUGCCAUGUCCGCGCCCAGGAUUCGAACCGACGAAACACUGGGCCGCCUGCAGCGGAGCGCGCGAACUUAACCACUCGGCCACGGGGCCAGACCCUAAACUUGCCAAUUUCUACCAAAAAAAAAG